CGGGGUGUAGCGCAGUCUGGUAGCGCAUCUGCUUUGGGAGCAGAGGGUCGGAGGUUCGAAUCCUCUCACCCCGACCA
rnacentral:tRNA from 1 species